rnacentral:ncRNA from 1 species
UGCGUUUUUGACAAAGCCAGCAGAGCGGUAGUAAUGGAUAGAUCGUAAAGACGCUGUAAAUACCUCCCUGUACGCUCGGCUUGCGCCAUCCAUGGCGCAAACGCUUU